ACACUUCGCGCCGCCCCAGGUGCUCGGGAAGCCGGUGAAAGUCCGGCACUGCCCCCGCAACGGUAAGCCAGAACUCCUUUCAUCAAGCCACUGGGCCACGGCCUGGGAAGGCGAAAGGCUGACGCGAUGGAAGCCAUCGCGUCGCUGGCAAGUCCGGAGACCGGCCUCGGGACCAGACGCGCU
rnacentral:ncRNA from 2 species